ensembl:miRNA Mir7235 microRNA 7235
GGAGGGAGGGGUCUGGGCAGAGGUGAGGCUGGCUCUGACCUCUUGCUUCUCUCCUC